UUUUGAGUCGCAAAUUAUUGCAUCACAUCAAGUCCAUAUUAGUUGCUAGUGAGAAGCCCGGUGGCGGGGCUUAGUUGCUAGUGAGAAGCCCGCGACGGCCCCGCCGCCGCCGCCCUAACGCCCACCCCGCUUCAGAUCACCAACCCCGCACUAAGUUUCUAAAAGGAUCCUAUUCCCCUUUUAAACUUCGAACAAAAUAUGAAAAAAUUGCACAUUUUGACCUUAGCCUAUUCUGGUCAUCAACCUUAGGCACAGGUCACCCUUUCUGAUAUCGGAAAAGAAAGCAUUAAAGGUGAAAUUCAGCGGGUGAUUGAUCCAUGGCGUUGUCGAGGCUUCGACAUCCGGUGAUCUCUCGAGCCCCUUUGUUGAUUAGGGCUCGUUUUCUCUAUUCUCUUCCACUCAUAUAUCAUUCUAUCGGUGCUCUCUCUCCUUCUGUAGCGUGUUUUUGUAAAUCUGUGUUUUUCUACCUGCAUUUGGAUCAGUACAUUUCGUUGAUUGUGAAAGAAUUAUUCAUUUCAAUUUAAGCGAAAAUUGGAAAACGAGAUCGAAUGGUUGGUGAAAUGGUCAAAGGCGAGUCGCAUAUAUGAUUACUAAAAAAAUAUCCAAUUAUAAUGCUGUACUCAGGAAACAUCGAUUCUUAUUUUUAUAAACACCAAUACUUUACUCGUAUUUGGAAUUAAUACUUAAAUUACUUCUCUAAGUUGUAAUUUGUAUUUGAAUAAUGACCGUAUAUACAU
rnacentral:lncRNA from 1 species